GAUGAACGCUGGCGGCGUGCCUAAUACAUGCAAGUCGAGCGAAUGGAUUAAGAGCUUGCUCUUAUGAAGUUAGCGGCUGACGGGUGAGUAACACGUGGGUAACCUGCCCAUAAGACUGGGAUAACUCCGGGAAACCGGGGCUAAUACCGGAUAACAUUAUGAACCGCAGGGUUCGAACUUGAAAGUCGGCUUCGGCUGUCACUUAUGGAUCGACCCGCGUCGCAUUAGCUAGUUGGUGAGGUAACGGCUCACCAAGGCAACGAUGCGUAGCCGACCUGAGAGGGUGAUCGGCCACACUGGGACUGAGACACGGCCCAGACUCCUACGGGAGGCAGCAGUAGGGAAUCUUCCGCAAUGGACGAAAGUCUGACGGAGCAACGCCGCGUGAGUGAUGAAGGCUUUCGGGUCGUAAAACUCUGUUGUUAGGGAAGAACAAGUGCUAGUUGAAUAAGCUGGCACCUUGACGGUACCUAACCAGAAAGCCACGGCUAACUACGUGCCAGCAGCCGCGGUAA
rnacentral:rRNA from 1 species